rnacentral:rRNA from 1 species
GCUCAAAUUUAAAAUCUAAUGGUCUUUUUGGCCAUUCGAGUUGUAAUUUAGAGAAGCGUCUUCCGCGCCAGACCAUGUACAAGUCUCCUGGAACGGAGCGUCGUAGAGGGUGAGAAUCCCGUCUUUGACAUGGACACUCGGUGCUUCUGUGAUGCGCUCUCAAAGAGUCGAGUUGUUUGGGAAUGCAGCUCAAAAUGGGUGGUGAACUCCAUCUAAGGCUAAAUAUUGGCGAGAGACCGAUAGCGAACAAGUACCGUGAGGGAAAGAUGAAAAGCACUUUGGAAAGAGAGUGAAACAGUACGUGAAAUUGUUGAAAGGGAAACACUUGAAGUCAGUCGCGUCGAUCAAGACUCAGCCUUGCCUCGUGCUUGGCGUACUUCUUGACUUGACGGGCCAGCAUCAAUUUCGUCCCUCGGAUAAUGGCGAGUGAAAUGUGGCACCUUUGCGGGUGUGUUUAUAGUCUCUUGUCGCAUGCGAGGGGUGGGAUUGAGGAACUCAGCACGCGUCUCACGGCGUCGGGGCUUCGGCCCACGUUUACGUGCUUAGGAUGCCGG